CGGCGAUGUGCAGACCUCCGCCACGGGUGGUGCUGCGGCGAAUAUCCUGCUGACCGUCGGCCCGGUGCCCAUCACAGUUGUCGCCGGCGGUUCUGCUAUCGGGGAGGUGGUCUAAAGCCGUGUGAAGAGCCAUGGAGAUUGCGUCUGCCGUUGACCUAUUGUGACGACAGGCAAAUUGCAGUGGGUCCAGGUCCUUGCAGAGGCGGGAGUUCAUUUCAGUCAUAACCAACCUCCCAAAGCAUUUCCUCACUGUCGAUAGCGGCGCAGGCUGAGGUGAGACUGGAUGAACGUUUAUAAGAUUACGAGAGGAAUAGAUAGAGUGGACAGACGAUAUAUUUCUCCUGGGCGUUGAACUGUCUAACACAUUUAAGUUAGACCUGUGGUGAGAGAUUUAUUGGAAGAAAAACCCCAACUGGAAGCAAACCACGACUGAAGACGAGGGAACAGCAACAAGUGAACCAGCCCGAGGAUUGAGAGCAUCAACUGGAGAGGACCCAUCUGACUCGGAGAAUCCAGUGAUUCCGUCAGGAGAAAGUUUGGAUUCCCGAUGCCAAAAAUAAACAGUUUAAAUCGACUGACCUUAAAUUCCUUUUAGAGAGAGAGAGAGCCUUUGUACAUGAACUCAUUGUGCUUUUACAAGAGUUAUCUCGAUGCAGCUUCUCUUCAACGAAGACUCAAUUAGGUCGAUCCUUUAUUAAACUGCCAACCGAUGCCGACUUCUCUCGAUCCUUCACUUCGAUGAAUUCUUCACUCUCCCUUCAAAACUGUCCAAAUUGAGUAAAUUGGCACUUCCAGCCACAAAUUCCCAGCUCAAAUACAAUAUCUUGUAAGAGAAUGCACCGUCCGUUUUAAAAAUGAAACUACGUCACGAAAACAACCACGCAACAGAAGUGGAGGCACAACACGUCCUACCUGGAAAUCUACAAACUCAAAAACCCACUGCAUCACCUGAGUCGACCCUUAUAUAGUCACGGGUCACGUGUCAUCACAUGACCUCACAACGGCGGGAAAAUCACAUCAGGUGACCAUUACAUCAUUCUCACAAAAACCACAGAUCUCCUUGAGCAUGUAAUACCUCCCUCCAAAAAAAAAAAUUUUGGUCUCUUGAAGAACAAAAAUUUAACAAUUUAUACAAAAAAAAUACUAAGGUAUAAAAUUUACAAAAUGCACGAUAUACGAUAUAUAUAAUCUUAUCUUUCAGCCCUUUACAAACUAAUGUACAGUAGGGGUGUUACAAAUGAUAAAAUAUCACUCCAAAAAAAAACAAAUUUUCAUUGUACAUUUAACAUCUAGACAAACAGUCAGCAAUCACAUUGUCUUUACCCUUGAUAUGAGUGAUCAAAAUAUUGUACUCCUGUAACAUUAAACUGGAUUAUUAAA